rnacentral:lncRNA from 12 species
GGGGGGGGGGGGGGGGGGGGGGGGGGGGGGGGGGGGGGGGGGGGGGGGGGGGGGGGGGCCCCCCCAAACCUCCCCAAAAUCCCCUCAGGACCCCCCAAAUCCCCCCCAGCCGCUCACCUUGUCCUUCUCGUGGGAGCUCAGGUCCAGCAGCACGUGCAGGUACUGGAACUGCCGCGAGGGGCGCCGGAAGAUCAGCUCGCGCAGCGUGGCCAUGCCCAGGUACGUGCGGCUCUCGUCCUCGCAGUAUUUCCGGAUCACCUCCAGCGCGCUCUCGGUGAUCAGCGGCGCCUCCAGCACGACCUUGGUGAAGAUCCUGGGGACAGGGACAGCGCUGGUGUCACCACCCUGCUGUCCCCAGCCCACCCCAGUGGCACCAAUCUGAUCCAGUGACACCGACCCAGUGACACCAACCCACCCCAGUGACACCAACACAUCCCAGUGACACCAACCCAGUGACACCAACCCAUCCCUGGUGUCCCCCCCAACCCAGUGACACCAACCCAACCCAGUGACACCAACCCAACCCAGUGACACCAACCCAACCCAGUGACACCAACCAAACCCAGUGACACCAACCCACCCCAGUGACACCAACACAUCCCAGUGACA